UGUUCGGCCGAAUGGUAGGCCCAAAUGUUAAACCCAAAUUGUUUCGGGCCGGUUCGAAAUGUGGAUGGUUCGGUUCCUUCGGCCCAAAUGGCCGGUUCAAAUGCUUAGCCCAAGGAUUGGGCAAGCCCAAGCCAUCAUUACUGGGAGUAACGCGGAUUAGUGGACCCUCCCAGAGCCCACAAGAAGGCCCAGGUGGCCCAUAAUGAAUAAGAAGACGUUGUGGAAGUGUUUGGAUUUUAUAAAUUCUUGAUUUAGGGAAGCAAUGUUUUUGCACAUUGAUUUGUGUGCUUGAGAUUUGGCUAAUGUUGGUAGUUAAACUCUAGCCUGUGAUUUCUUGUUAUGGAGAACUUGUGGUGAUUUGUGAAGUGAUGAAUUGAUUUAGUUACCAUUAGGAUAUGACCUUUGUGGUUAGAACUGUUCGUAUCUUAGAUAGGUGUACGAAGAAGCUUUGUAGGAAGGAGGUUAAUCUUGUGAAGGUGCUGUGGAGUCAUCAUGACGAGGGUAAUGCAUCAUGGGAGUUAGAGUCUGACAUGAGAGUGAAGUAUCCACAGCUCUUUGUGGAAUUGGGUACUUGAAUUUCGGGACGAAAUUCCUUUAAGGAGGGUAGAUUGUAAUAACCCAUUUCUUUUAAUCAAAGCAAAACAACAUUGCUUUUACUUUCAUGAUUUUGAUGCUUUACCUUUAAUGAUUAUGCUUAAUUAGUAGGGUUACUGAUUGAGUUGAUUGUGAUCGACCGACACUCACACUCUCCCUCUCUCUCACUCACACUCUCACUCUCUCUGUCGGCCGAACCCAGCAACAAACAGAGCACGGUUUCUCCAAUCUCUCUCUAGCACCACAGACCACCAAAUGACACCGGACCACGUCCUACGCCUUCACCUCUUCCUUGCGCAGCUGCCGGUGGUAUCUUUUGGCCGUCUCGUGAGCCGUACACGGCGGUGGAGCACGAGGCCGGUUUAACCCGAUUUGGUCCCGAGCUUGAUAACUCGAGCUACAAGCCACCAAUCCUUGCCAAACUCCAUCCUCAGGUUCGUCUCAACCUUCUGAAACUCCCAGAAGCACCCUUGCACGGCGGCGCGGCUCGUAGCAGCUGCUGAAGUCAACCCCGAGCUAGAUCGAACGGAACUUUCGAUCCAGAUAUCUCAAGCUGUGGAGCUUCGUUUCGAGUGAUUCUUGAACUGGUAAACUCACCUUGAGUUUCUGAACAACUCUCUAGAAGGAAUCGAAGCCUGAAAUUGAAGUUUUGACGUCGAAAUCAAGCCUUGCCGGAUUCUGCAAAAUUCUGGAAUUUUUCCGACCACCGAAGCUUUCGAUCGGUAUAUCUCGAGCUACAGACCAUAUUUUUCUGUACUUCUUGAACCAGUGAGUUCUUCUUGAGUUUCUUAACAACUCUUCAGAAGGAAUCGAAGCCUUAAAUUGACGUUUUUACGUCGAAUUGGAGCUCGCCGUUUUCUGCAGUUUCUCGCCGGUUUCUGGAAAAUUCCGGCCACCUUCAUACUGUUCAAGGUGGUUGAUGGAUUGAUUGGUGAACGAUUUCGGAUCGUUGUUUUGAGCUGUUAAGAAGACGCAGCGGGAAUUUAGAGCGGGUAAUCCUACAGGACAGGAGAACCAGGACGGUGAUCGUGCGGUUAGAGCAAUGGUUAUAGUUUUACAGCAAUUGUAAUAGUGAGGCGAGUUAAGCUCAUUUGAGCAUUACAAUUUGAUUUGGUGGGAGUGUGCUGUAAUAAAUAACUUGAGGAUUUGGGUUAUUGUAAAUUUGAGAGUUGUGAAGUGUGGUUGUUUGUGAGAAAAAAAUUCAGGAUGUUAGUUGUAAUUUGUUAUUAUUCAUGUUUCGGAUUUGAAUUGAUUA